CCAGACUCCUACGGGAGGCAGCAGUGGGGGAUAUUGCACAAUGGGGGGAACCCUGAUGCAGCGACGCCGCGUGGGUGAAGGAGUGCUUCGGCAUGUAAAGCCCUAUCGGCAGGGAAGAAGGAGGACGGUACCUGACUAAGAAGCCCCGGCUAACUACGUGCCAGCAGCCGCGGUAAUACGUAGGGGGCAAGCGUUAUCCGGAUUUACUGGGUGUAAAGGGAGCGUAGACGGCCAGACAAGUCAGAAGUGAAAGCCCAGGGCUCAACUCUGGGACUGCUUUUGAAACUGCCGGGCUGGAGUGCAGGAGAGGUAAGCGGAAUUCCUAGUGUAGCGGUGAAAUGCGUAGAUAUUAGGAGGAACACCAGUGGCGAAGGCGGCCUACUGGGCUUUUACUGACGCUGAGGCUCGAAAGUGUGGGGAGCAAACAGGAUUAGAUACCCCGGUACA
rnacentral:rRNA from 1 species